UAAUACAGAGACCCCAAGCGUUAUUCGGAUUUAUUGGGCGUAAAGGGUCCGUAGGCGGUUAAGCAAGUCUUUGGUUAAAGGUCCAGAGCUCAAUUUUGGGAAUGCCAGAGAAACUGCUUAACUAGAGGACGUUAGAGGCUGAUGGAACUCUCGGUGUAGGGGUGAAAUCCGUUGAUAUCGAGGGGAACACCAAAGGCGAAGGCACUCAGCUAGGGCGUUCCUGACGCUGAGGGACGAAAGCGUAGGGAGAGAACGGGAUUAGAUACCCCGGUAUUCUACGCUGUAAACGAUGGACACUGGCUAUUUGAAGUGUCGACCCUCCAAGUGGCGAAGCUAACGCGUUAAGUGUCCCGCCUGGGAAGUACGGCGGCAACGUUA
rnacentral:rRNA from 1 species